UGUUUUUAGCUAGAGUUAAAAACAACCUUCAGGACUAUAAAGUAGGAGUUGCAUUACCUGGAGCUGCUACAGACAACAGAAUUGCAACAGAAAAGCUAUCUUGAUUAGUGGAACGUUAAGACCAGUGAUAAAGAAGAGCUGGUCAUUACCAUGGAGCGCAGGGUUUAGAAGGAAUCGGGUAGAUUACAAGGAGCCAUGAAGUCAAGUGACUCCGUCCACUGCUGCCUAAAUAGAAAUGCUGCUGCCUUUGCAAGUGGUUGGUUUUAAACCUCAGACCUGAAACUAAUAGUUCUGCCCUCCCUCUGCAUCUCCCACAAUAGCAGGCUAAAAGAUCUUGAGGCUUCAUCUUCCUCCAAGAGCAAGACAGUUUCUCUCUCAAUAAACACUUUGAAACUGGGAUGCAAUACAAGUGAACGAUCUACAGGGCUGUUCCUUACUUGGGUCUCCUGUUGCUAGUUGCCCUCGUAAGGGGCAUGAUCAGAAACAGCAAUUCUGCCAGCAGAGGAACCCAUGCAGGAUUAGCCAAGACUCUAGAGAUCAGAAAGAAAUGUAGCACCUGGACAUAUGCACUAGGGAAAAUUAUGAAUAGUCUCUCUAUCCAUUAGAUGUACAAACCAGAUUAUCUCCUGGUCCCUGAUCUCCAAAGAGCAAUUCCAGCACUAUUCUAGCACUGGCUGGCUCAUGCCCUUGAGGGCCGGAUUUAUGAUUUAUCAUUGUUAAAUAUGUGUACGGUACCUAGCGCAUUGGUAGGUGAGUGCUGCUUAGUCUGAAAAUGAAAGGCUCGAACAUCUGUUUACUACUGCCUGAGCGAUUCAGCAAUUCUCCUGAAGAGAAUAUAUUGCCUCUAUUUAUAAUUUAGAAAGGGAAACAACAGCAAUCUGAAAUCUAGUCCAUUGAAAAAAAAUGGGCUUACCACCCCUGAGUUCCUCUGACAAUUCCUUUUGUGUUACAACCAUAUUUACCUGUUAUUGCUUUUCUCUCUCCUGUUGCUGUUUGAAAGAUCCACACAAACAAGUAGGGGAAACCGAAACCGAUGAUGCAUCAUGUACUCAAAAUAAUAUAUACACAGAAAUAUAUAAUCUCUUUACAUUAACAUUCUUAUACUCUGC